AAACCAACAAGAACUUCAACAACACUACCACAAGAAUUCAACAACCACAAUCAAUCUUUUCUCGGAAUUAAAACGAGUUUGGCGUGUGGGGGAAAGAACCAACCCAACACUAUGAUCUCACAUACCUUAAUAGGGAUCACCCCCGACGAAAACCAUGACGAUCUUGACGAAAUCCUUGCUUCUUCUUCUCUUUCUCCUCUUCUUUCUCUCUUCUCUCCAAAACCCUAACUC
rnacentral:lncRNA from 1 species